rnacentral:rRNA from 1 species
UACGUAGGGAGCAAGCGUUGUUCGGAUUUACUGGGCGUAAAGGGCGCGUAGGCGGCAUAUUAAGUCAUCUGUGAAAUCUCCGAGCUUAACUCGGAACUGUCAGCUGAUACUGAUGUGCUAGAGUGCGGAAGGGGCAAUCGGAAUUCUUGGUGUAGCGGUGAAAUGCGUAGAUAUCAAGAGGAACACCUGAGGUGAAGACGGGUUGCUGGGCCGACACUGACGCUGAGUGCGCGAAAGCCAGGGGAGCAAACAG